AUGGGGGACGGUGCAUGGGGUCACCCCCCGCCCCCCUGGGACGUGCCAAGGCCGUCCUUGACCACCCUUGUGCUUUCACACGACGGAGGCCACACACCCCGUGACUCCCAUGACCCGGGCAGCCUCUGCGCCCUGCAGCCUCGUCAGGGCCGUGGCCGCGUGAGCCGUGGGGUUGGGGGGGCGGAGUGGGUCCCGCGGGGGCUGGCGGCGGAAGUGGCCCAACAGACUUCAACACCUGGCCGGGGGGGCGGGGGCGGCCCGGCCAACAGGCGCAGACGGGCGUGGGACUGUGCAGACCCCGUCUUGGCCUGUGCGCUGGGGUGGGCAGGACGGGCCGAAGCCAGGCUGCGAGGAGACGCCGUGCUCCCUGCCCGGGAGGCCCAGGCUAUGCCCCAGGGCCCGGCCCGCAGAGACCUCGACUCCCACCCCUGCCCUGAGAGGAAGGCGGUGGCUCGACGCUGCGGGGCUCCACGUGGAGGACGGUUCCAGCACAAGAGGUUCCUUCCGGCGUCUUCUAGAGGCCACGACAUGGGGACCUUCCCUCAGCCCCUCACAGCGACACCGGAGGGCGGGGGGUCGCCUCCUGACGGGCCCCCCAGGGGACCUCCCUACCCUCCGGAGGGGCCGCUCUGUGCUCUCCUAAAAGCAAGUUCCCUGGAGUUUUCCCCUUUGGGGACUGUGGGUCUGGGGAGGUGCCCCCCCCGCCCCCCCGGAACCUUCCUGGCACUGCGAGCCCAGGCGACGCCCCCGCUGUUCUUCCCACGUCCACCUGCAACUCCAGGAAAAUCAACACACAGACAACAAAGUGUUUUCUACGGAAACUGUUAUUUGCCGUUGAGAACUGCCGACUACACUGGGGAGGUGAACAUUCUCCGUAAGCCGCCUCGGAACCGGGACGGCUCCCCAUGGGUCGGGCCGAGGCCCGCGUCCCCCACGUACAACAGCGUGGGCUGCAGCAUCAGCCCCGGCCGCUCCCCGGCUGCACCGCUCAGUCGGAGCAACGCGGCCGCCUUCCCUGCUGCCCGGCUCUACCCCACGCUCGCCACUGAGGACACAGGUGGGAAAUGGGAGGAAGUCCCCUCCAUGGGCCACGCGUGGGCCGGCAGGACGUGCAGGCGCCCCUGA
rnacentral:lncRNA from 1 species